GCCGGUGUAGCUCAGUUGGUAGAGCAUCUGACUUGUAAUCAGAAGGUCGCCGGUUCGAUCCCGGCCGCCGGCUCCA
rnacentral:tRNA from 1 species